GUUAAAUGGGGGAUUUGAAAAAGAAAACGCGUGAUUUUCACUUAAAUGUGGGAUUUCCGAACAGAAAACGUGAUUUUCGCUUAAAUGGGGGAUUUGUGAAGAGAAAACGCGCGACAUUCAAAUUAAAUGGGGGAUUCUCGAAGAGAAAAUGCGUGAUUUUCGCUUAAAUGGGGGAUUCUCGAGGAGAAAACGCGCGAUUUUUGCUUAAAUGUGGGAUUGUCGAAGAGAAAAUGCGUGAUUUUCGCUGAAAUGGGGGAUUUGCAAAGAGAAAACGCGUGAUUUUCGGGUUAAAUGGGGGAUUCUCGAAAAGAAAACACGUGAUUUUUGCUUAAAUGGGGGAUUUGCGAGGAGAAAACGCGUGAUUUUUGAGUUAAAUGGGGGAUUCUCGAGGAGAAAACGCGUGAUUUUCGCUUAAAUGGGUGAUUCUCGAAGAGAAAAUGCGCGAUUUUUGGCUUAAAUGGGGAUUCUCGAAGAGAAAACGCGUGAUUUUUGGGUUAAAUGGGGGAUUUUCGAAGAGAAAAUGCGUGAUUUUUGGUUUAAAUGGGGGAUUCUCGAAGAGAAAACGCGUGAUUUUUGCUUAAAUGGGGGAUUCUCGAUGAGGAAACGCAUGAUUUUUGCCUAAAUGGGGGAUUCUCGAGGAGAAAACGCGUGAUUUUCGCUUAAAUGGGGGAUUUGCGAAGAGAAAAUGCAUGAUUUUCACUUAAAUGGGGAUUCUCGAAAAGAAAACGCCUGAUUUUCGCUUAAAUGGUGGAUUUGCGAAGAGUAAUCGCGUGAUUUUAAGUUAAAUGGGGGAUUCUCAAAGAGAAAAUGCGUGAUUUUCGCUUAAAUGGGGGAUUCUCGAAGAGAAAACGCAUGAUUUUCGGGUUAAAUGGGGGAUUCUCAAAGAGAAAACACGUGAUUUUCGCUUAAAUGGGGGAUUUGCAAAGAGAAAACGCAUGAUUUUCACUUAAAUGGGGGAUUCUCGAAGAGAAAACGCGUGAUUUUCGCUUAAAUGGGGAAUUCUCGAAAGAGAAAACCCAUGAUUUUCGCUUAAAUGGGGGAUUCUCGCAGAGAAAACGCGUGAUUUUCGCUUAAAUGGGGAAUUCUCGAAAAGGAAACCCGUGAUUUUCGCUUAAAUGGGGGAUUUGCGAAGAGAAAACGCGAGAUUUUUGCUUAAAUGGGGGAUUCUCGAAGAGAAAAUGCGUGAUUUUUGCUUAAUUGGGGAAUUGCAAAGAGAAAAUGCGUGAUUUUCGCUUAAAUGGGGAAUUCUCGAAGAGAAAACGCGUGAUUUUCAGUUAAAUGGGGGAUUCUUGAAGAGAAAACGCGUGAUUUUCGCAGAAAAGGUGUAUUCUCGAAGAGAAAAUGCGUGAUUUUUGCUAAAAUGGGGAAUUCUCGAAGAGAAAACGCGUGAUUUUUGCUUAAAUGGGGGAUUUGCGAAGAGAAAACGCGAGAUUUUUGCUUAAAUGGGGGGUUCUCAAAGAGAAAAUGCGUGAUUUUCGCUUAAUUGGGGAAUUGCAAAGAGAAAAUGCGUGAUUUUCGCUUAAAUGGGGAAUUCUCGAAGAGAAAACGCGUGAUUUUCAGGUUAAAUGGGGGAUUCUCGAGGAGAAAACACGUGAUUUUCGCUUCAAUGGGGGAUUCUCGAAGAGAAAACGCGUGAUUUUCGCUUAAAUGGGGGAUUCUCAAAGAGAAAACGCGUGAUUUUUGGGUUAAAUGGGGGAUUUGCGAAGAGAAAACGCGUGAUUUUCGCUAAAAUGGGGGAUUCUCGAAGAGAAAACGCAUGACUUUCGGGUUAAAUGGUGGAUUCUCAAAGAGAAAACGCGUGAUUUUCGGGUUAAAUGGGGGAUUUGCGAAGAGAAAACGCGUGAUUUUCGAGUAAAUGGGGGAUUUGCAAAGAGAAAACGCGUGAUUUUCGCUUAAAUGAGGGAUUCUCGAAGAGAAAACGUGAUUUUCGCUUAAAUGGGGGAUUUGCGAAGAGAAAACGCGUGAUUUUCGGGUUAAAUCGGGGAUUCUCGCGGAGAAAACGCGUGAUUUUCGCUUAAAUGGGGGAUUCUCGAAGAGAAAACGCGUGAUUUUCGGGUUAAAUCGGGGAUUCUCGAAGAGAAAACGCGUGAUUUUCGCUUAAAUGGGGGAUUCUCGAAGAGAAAACGCGUGAUUUUCGGGUUAAAUGGGGGAUUUGUGAAGACAAAACGCGUCAUUUUUGCUUAAAUGGGGGAUUUGCGAAGACAAAAACGCGUGAUUUUGGCUUAAAUGGGGUAUUCUCGAAGAGAAAACGCGUGAUUUUCAGGUAAAGUAGAGGAUUCUCAAGGAGAAAACACGUGGUUUUCGCUUAAAUGGGAAAUUUGCGAAGAGAAAACGCGUGAUUUUUUGUUAAAUGGGGGAUUCUCGAAGUGAUAAUUCGUGAUUUUUGGCUUCAAUGGUGGAUUCUCGAAGAGAAAACACGUGAUUUUCGGGUUAAAUGGGGGAUUCUCGAAAAGAAAACGCGUGAUUUUCGCUUAAAUGGGGGAUUUCCGAAGAGAAAAAGCCUUAUUUUUGCUGAAAUGCGGUAUUCUAGAAGAGAAAACGCGUGAUUUUUGCUUAAAUGGGGGAUUUGCGAAGAGAAAACGCGUGAUUUUUGCUUAAAUGGGGGAUUCUCAAAGAGAAAACGCGUGAUUUUCGCUUAAUGGGGGAUUUGCGAAGAGAAAACGCGUGAUUUUCG
ensembl:lncRNA